GAAUUAUUGGGCGUAAAGGGCGCGUAGGCGGCCUGGUAAGUCUGCUGUGAAACCUUGGGGCUCAACCCCAAGCGUGCAGUGGAUACUGUCAGGCUAGAGGAUGGUAGAGGCCAGUGGAAUUCCCGGUGUAGCGGUGAAAUGCGCAGAUAUCGGGAGGAACACCAGUAGCGAAGGCGGCUGGCUGGGCCAUUCCUGACGCUGAGGCGCGAAAGCUAGGGGAGCGAACAGGAUUAGAUACCCUGGUAGUCCUAGCCGUAAACGAUGAACACUAGGUGUGGGGGGAGUCGAAUCCCUCCGUGCCGAAGCCAACGCGUUAAGUGUUCCGCCUGGGGAGUACGGCCGCAAGGCUAAAACUCAAAAGAAUUGACGGGGGCCCGCACAAGCAGCGGAGCAUGUUCUUUAAUUCGAUGCAACGCGAAGAACCUUACCUGGGCUUGACAUGGCACUGCAAGCGCACGGAAACGUGUGACCUUCGAGGGUGUGCCACAGAUGCUGCAUGGCUGUCGUCAGCUCGUGUCGUGAGAUGUUGGGUUAAGUCCCACAACGAGCGCAACCCCUGUCGUGUGUUGCCAGCAUUAAGUUGGGGACUCACGCGAGACUGCCGGUGACAAACCGGAGGAAGGUGGGGAUGACGUCAAGUCAUCAUGGCUCUUACGUCCAGGGCUAGAAACGUGCUACAAUGGCGUACACAAAGGGCAGCAAGACCGCAAGGUGGAGCGAAUCUCAUCAAAGUACGUCUAAGUUCGGAUCGGGGUCUGCAAUUCGACCCCGUGAAGCUGGAGUUGCUAGUAAUCGCGGAUCAGAAUG
rnacentral:rRNA from 1 species